CAGUCGCCACGGUAAUACGAAGGGGGCUAGCGUUGUUCGGAAUCACUGGGCGUAAAGCGCACGUAGGCGGAUGAUUAAGUCAGGGGUGAAAUCCCGAGGCUCAACCUCGGAACUGCCUUUGAUACUGGUUAUCUUGAGUCCGGGAGAGGUGAGUGGAACUGCGAGUGUAGAGGUGAAAUUCGUAGAUAUUCGCAAGAACACCAGUGGCGAAGGCGGCUCACUGGCCCGGAACUGACGCUGAGGUGCGAAAGCGUGGGGAGCAAACAGGAUUAGAUACCCCCGUAGUCCCUGUCUCUUAUAC
rnacentral:rRNA from 1 species